rnacentral:rRNA from 1 species
AGGACGAACGCUGGCGGCGUGCCUAAUACAUGCAAGUUGAGCGCUGAAGGUUGGUACUUGUACCAACUGGAUGAGCAGCGAACGGGUGAGUAACGCGUGGGGAAUCUGCCUUUGAGCGGGGGACAACAUUUGGAAACGAAUGCUAAUACCGCAUAAAAACUUUAAACACAAGUUUUAAGUUUGAAAGAUGCAAUUGCAUCACUCAAAGAUGAUCCCGCGUUGUAUUAGCUAGUUGGUGAGGUAAAGGCUCACCAAGGCGAUGAUACAUAGCCGACCUGAGAGGGUGAUCGGCCACAUUGGGACUGAGACACGGCCCAAACUCCUACGGGAGGCAGCAGUAGGGAAUCUUCGGCAAUGGACGAAAGUCUGACCGAGCAACGCCGCGUGAGUGAAGAAGGUUUUCGGAUCGUAAAACUCUGUUGGUAGAGAAGAACGUCGGUGAGAGUGGAAAGCUCAUCAAGUGACGGUAACUACCCAGAAAGGGACGGCUAACUACGUGCCAGCAGCCGCGGUAAUACGUAGGUCCCGAGCGUUGUCCGGAUUUAUUGGGCGUAAAGCGAGCGCAGGUGGUUUAUUAAGUCUGGUGUAAAAGGCAGUGGCUCAACCAUUGUAUGCAUUGGAAACUGGUAGACUGA